UGGACCUCUGCCAGGCUGCAGGUUCAACAACUAGACUGUCUGUCCAAAGACCAAACCACUGGAUUGCCAGCAUUUGACAAAACAUCGGGCCGUUCAGACUGUCAAUAGUUGUUAACCCUGUUCCAAAUCCUCAGCAUGUAAACAGGUUUAAGAGUUAUCACACCCAGGCCUGACUGGAUGGUUUUAGAUCAAGCUAUAAGUAUGGAACUGAAUUGACCCUCAGCAACUUCAGGUGAAAGACUUUGAUUGGGUGAGUUUCCUGGGCAUGUGCUGGAAUGGACGUCUUUACUCUGAAUUCAUGUGUGGGCCUGUUUUUGUGUGAAUGGAAACCUAACCAAUGACUGUCCUCAGCCCUCGGCCUGUGCUGUUGGUAGCUGUGCAGUUGGUACUUGUGUUAUCCACUCUGACACUGAUUAACGUGAUGAUGGCCUGUUUGACCCAGCCUACAGUGCCUUCAGAAACUAUUCACAAGCAUUGACUUUUUCCACAUUUUGUGUUACAGCCUGAAUUUAAAAUGGAUUAAAUUUAGAUUUUUGGCCUACACACAAUACCCCAUAAUGUCAAAGUGGAAUUAUGUUUCUAGAUUUUUUUACAAAUUAAUUGAAAAUCUGAAAUGUCUUGAGUCAAAGUAUUCAACCCCUUUGUUAUGGCAAGCCAAAAUAAGUUCAGGAGUAAACAUUUGCUUAACAAUUCACAUGAUAAGUCGCAUGGACUCACUCUACCUCAUUUCUGCACCGCACACAUACAACACGAUCUGUAAGGUCCCUCAGUCGAGCAGUGAAUUUCAAAUACCGACUCAACCACAAAGAACAGGGAGGUUUUCCAAUGCCUCGCAAAGAUUUACCCAUUGGUAGAUGGGUAAAAAAACAGACAUUGAAUAUCCCUUUGAGCAUGAAGUUAUUCAUUACACUAUGGAUGGUGUAUCAAUACAUCCAGUCACUGCAAAGAUACAGGUGUCCUUACUAACUCAGUUGCCGGUGAGGAAGGAAACCGCUCAGGUAUUUCACCAUGAGGCUUUUAAAAUGGUUACAGAGUUUAAUGGCUUUGAUAGGAGAAAACUGAGGAUGGAUCAGCAACAUUGUAGUUACUCCACAGUGCCAACCUAAUUGACAGAGUGAAAUGAAGUAAGCUUGUACAGAAUAAAAAUAUUACAAAACAUGCAUCCUGUUUGCAAAUUAAUACUGCAAAUAAAUGUGGCAAAGCAAUUAACUUUUUGUCCUGAAUAGAAAGUGUUAUGUUCGGGGCAAAUCCAAUACAACACAUUACUGACUACCACUCUAUUUUCAAGCAUCGUGGUGGCUGCAUCUUGUUAUGGGUAUGCUUGUAAUCGUUAAGGACUGGGGAGUUUUUCAGGAUAAAAAAAUACUUUGAAUGGAGCCAAAGGAAUCCAGUUUAGUCUGCUUUCCACCAGACAGUGGGAGAUGAAUUCACCUUUCAGCAGGACAAUAACCUAAAACACAAGGCCAAAAGUACACUGGAGUUGCUUACCAAGAAGACAGUGAAUGUUCCUGAGUGGCCAAGUUACAGUUCUGACUUAAAUCUGUUUGAAAAGCUUUGGCAGGAAUUGAAAAUGGUUGUCUAGCAAUGAUCAAUUUGAUAGCGCUUGAAGAAUCUUGAGAAGAAUAAUGGAUAAAUAUUGUACAGACCAGGUGUGCAAAGCUUUCAGAGACUUACCCAGAAAGACUCAGCUGUAAUCACUGCCAAAGGUGAUUUCUAAUAUGUAUUGACUCAGGGGUGUGAAUACUUAUGUAAAUUGAAUACCUAAAUGCUGUAUUUAAUUUUCAAUACAUUUGAAAGAAAACUGAAAAACCUGUUUUCAUUUUGUUGAUGUGCUAUUGUGUGUAAAAAAAAAUAAUAAUAUUUUUUUUAAUCUGUUUAAUCCAUUUUGAAGUCAGGCUGUAACACAAGAAAAUGUGGAUGAAGUCAAGGGAUAUGAAUACUUUCUGAAGGCACUAUAUGUACAGCCUUACGUAAGCCCCACACGUCCAGUACAUACCAUAUAUACAGAACACAUCUACUUACACACGUAAAAAUGCACACUUUUCCCAAGGAAGAUUGUAACAAUUUUAAUAUACCAC
rnacentral:lncRNA from 1 species